UCCCGGUGUGUCCCGGGGUGUCCCGGGGGGGUGUCCCGGUGUGUCCCGGUGUGUCCCGGGGGGGUGUCCCGGUGUGUCCCGGGGUGUCCCGGGGGGGUAUCCCGGUGUGUCCCGGGGCUCACGGGGCUGUCCCGCUGUCCCAGGAGGGGCUGGAGGAGGCGCGGCGGGCGCUGGCGGAGGCGCGGCGGGAGAAGGGAAUGCUCCGGGAGCAGCUCCGGGAACAGCGGGAGCUGGGAAUGCUGCGGGAACCGGGAAUGCCGAAGGAACCGGGAAUGCCGAAAGAACCGGGAAUGCUGCGGGAGCAGCUCCAGGAGCCGGGAAUGCCGAAAGAGCCGGGAAUGCCACCGGAACCGGGAAUGCCACCGGAGCCCUCCGAGGACCCACAGGACGAGGUCUGUGUGUCCGGGCAGGAGCGGGAGCCUCCCGGCCGGGCUGGAUCCCCGCAAAUCCCCGCGGGCUCGGCCGAGCGGGAGCUGGAGGAGGCUCGGAAGCGCAUCCAGGUGCUGCGGGUGGGUCCCUGCAUGGGCCGGACCCGGUCCAGGGGAUGGCAAUGGGGCUGAUCCCGAUCCAUGGGGCUGAUCCUGAUCCAUGGGGCUGAUCCCGAUCCAUGGGGCUGAUCCCAAUCCAUGGGGCUGAUCCCAAUCCAUGGGGCUGAUCCCGAUCCAUGGGGCUGAUCCCAAUCCAUGGGGCUGAUCCCGAUCCCGAUCCCGAUCCACGGGCUGAUCCUGAUCCACGGGCUGGGGCUGCUCCUUCGGGAGCUCAUCCUGAUGGGAAGGAUCCCAGUGGGAUUCCUGAUGGGAACGGUCCCGGUGCCGGUCCCGGUGCCAGUGCCGAUCCCGGUCCCGGUUCUGGUCCCGGUCCCGGUCCCGGUCCCGAUCCUGGUGCCGGUUCUGGUCCCGGUGCCGGUUCUGGUCCCGGUUCCGGUGCCGGUCCCGGUCCCGGUUCCGAUCCCAGUCCCGGUUCUGGUCCCAGUCCCGGUGCCGGUCCCGGUUCCGGUUCCGGUUCCGGUGCCGAUCCCUGUCCCGGUUCCGGUCCCUGUUCCGGUUCUGGUUCUGGUCCCGGUCCCGGUCCCGGUCCCGGUUCCGAUCCCGGUGCCGGUUCUGGUCCCGGUCCCGGUUCCGGUCCCGGUUCCGGUUCCGGUUCCGGUCCCGGUCCCGGUUCCGGGUCCAUCCCAGCGGCACGGGCUGUUCUGGGGUGUCCGGAGCAGGCGGUGCCCACUCCCGUCCCCUCCAGGCGCAGCUCUCGGUGCUGGAGCUCCGGGCCCGGCCGGUUCCCCGGGGAGCGGAUCCGGCUCGGCCGGGGGGACCUGGAGGAGCAGAUCGCGCUGCUCAAGGAGCAGGAGCUGCAGCGCCAUCCCAGCGGGAUUUAGGGAAUUCCAUCCAGCGGGAUUUAAGGAAUUCCAUCCAGCGGGAUUUAAGGAAUUCCACCCAGCGGGAUUUAAGGAAUUCCACCCAGCGGGAUUUAGGGAAUUCCAUCCUCUCAGGGCUGAGCCAGCCCCAUCCCGGCCCGUUCUGUCUCCUCGUUCCCUUCCCUCCGGGAAAAAGCCGCACUUUUCCCACCAGCCGACAAAAUUUGUCUGUUUUUUAAACAAUUUUGGACCUCAUGGAUGGUUCACCCCAUUUUCCUGCUGCGGUUUUAAACGGGAAAAAGAAAAAAUAAAUGGAAAAUAUUCCCUUUUUUUAGCCCCAGAAGACCCAACUGAUUUAUUCCACCCCAUCUCAAUUCCCCCUCUUUUUCUAACAAAAACCUCCCCGGAUUUGUGCUUUUGAAGGAUUUUUUUAGGAACUGGUUUUUAUAUGGGAUUUUUGGGGAUUUUUACUGGUGCUCCGAGGUUGGGAAAGGCACGGGAAGGGUGGCUCUGAUCCCCCUCAGUCCCGGCGGGAAUAAACGUGGAAAAUCCAAAUUGGGAGCUCUGAGG
ensembl:lncRNA